rnacentral:rRNA from 1 species
GACGAACGCUGGCGGCGUGCUUAACACAUGCAAGUCGAACGGAAAGGCCCUGCUUUUGUGGGGUGCUCGAGUGGCGAACGGGUGAGUAACACGUGAGUAACCUGCCCUUGACUUUGGGAUAACUUCAGGAAACUGGGGCUAAUACCGGAUAGGAGCUCCUGCUGCAUGGUGGGGGUUGGAAAGUUUCGGCGGUUGGGGACGGACUCGCGGCUUAUCAGCUUGUUGGUGGGGUAGUGGCUUACCAAGGCUUUGACGGGUAGCCGGCCUGAGAGGGUGACCGGCCACAUUGGGACUGAGAUACGGCCCAGACUCCUACGGGAGGCAGCAGUGGGGAAUAUUGCACAAUGGGCGGAAGCCUGAUGCAGCAACGCCGCGUGCGGGAUGACGGCCUUCGGGUUGUAAACCGCUUUCGCCUGUGACGAAGCGUGAGUGACGGUAAUGGGUAAAGAAGCACCGGCUAACUACGUGCCAGCAGCCGCGGUGAUACGUAGGGUGCGAGCGUUGUCCGGAUUUAUUGGGCGUAAAGGGCUCGUAGGUGGUUGAUCGCGUCGGAAGUGUAAUCUUGGGGCUUAACCCUGAGCGUGCUUUCGAUACGGGUUGACUUGAGGAAGGUAGGGGAGAAUGGAAUUCCUGGUGGAGCGGUGGAAUGCGCAGAUAUCAGGAGGAACACCAGUGGCGAAGGCGGUUCUCUGGGCCUUUCCUGACGCUGAGGAGCGAAAGCGUGGGGAGCGAACAGGCUUAGAUACCCUGGUAGUCCACGCUGUAAACGGUGGGUACUAGGUGUGGGGUCCAUUCCACGGGUUCCGUGCCGUAGCUAACGCUUUAAGUACCCCGCCUGGGGAGUACGGCCGCAAGGCUAAAACUCAAAGGAAUUGACGGGGCCCCGCACAAGCGGCGGAGCAUGCGGAUUAAUUCGAUGCAACGCGUAGAACCUUACCUGGGUUUGACAUGGAUCGGGAGUGCUCAGAGAUGGGUGUGCCUCUUUUGGGGUCGGUUCACAGGUGGUGCAUGGCUGUCGUCAGCUCGUGUCGUGAGAUGUUGGGUUAAGUCCCGCAACGAGCGCAACCCUUGUUCACUGUUGCCAGCACGUUAUGGUGGGGACUCAGUGGAGACCGCCGGGGUCAACUCGGAGGAGGGUGGGGAUGACGUCAAGUCAUCAUGCCCCUUAUGUCCAGGGCUUCACGCAUGCUACAAUGGCUGGUACAGAGAGUGGCGAGCCUGUGAGGGUGAGCGAAUCUCGGAAAGCCGGUCUCAGUUCGGAUUGGGGUCUGCAACUCGACCUCAUGAAGUCGGAGUCGCUAGUAAUCGCAGAUCAGCAACGCUGCGGUGAAUACGUUCCCGGGGCU